CCCAGACUCCUACGGGAGGCAGCAGUGGGGGACAUUGCACAAUGGGGGGAACCCUGAUGCAGCGACGCCGCGUGGGUGAAGGAGUAUUUCGGUAUGUAAAGCCCUAUCGGCAGGGAAGAAGCAAGACGGUACCUGACUAAGAAGCCCCGGCUAACUACGUGCCAGCAGCCGCGGUAAUACGUAGGGGGCGAGCGUUAUCCGGAUUCACUGGGUGUAAAGGGAGCGUAGACGGCCAGACAAGUCUGAGGUGAAAAUCCAGCGCUUAACGUUGGAAGUGCUUUGGAAACUGCCGGGCUAGAGUGCAGGAGGGGCAGGCGGAAUUCCUAGUGUAGCGGUGAAAUGCGUAGAUAUUAGGAGGAACACCAGUGGCGAAGGCGGCCUGCUGGACUGCAACUGACGUUGAGGCUCGAAGGCGUGGGGAGCAAACAGGAUUAGAUACCCCAGUAA
rnacentral:rRNA from 1 species